AAGCACUUCACAAAUAUUAACUCAGCCUCACUGAGGAUGGUUACUACCAGUAUCUCCAUUUUACAUAAGAAGAAAUGGAGGAAUCGAGAAAAUUAGAUAAACUGCCCAAGGUCACACAGCCAGUAAAUGGCAGAGCUGGGAUAUGAAACCAUGUCUUUUGGGCUCCUCAUCACUACACGAGGCUGUCUGGUGCUGCCAUUCCCUGGUUUGGACCCUGGGUGUGGACCUACACACUGCUUAUGGAGCCAUGCUGUGGUGGUGUCCCACAUGGAAGAAGAAGAAGGACUUACAACUAGACUAUACGAUCAAAAGUUCCUGGAACAAAAGGAAGGACAACGCAAAAACCUUCUCUCUGGAGAAGUCCUAGGCCUCUGUGUCCACACGUGAGCCCUCUUCAUACUUUGAGACGAUGCCGUCGGCCUCGGGCAGUCGGAGAAUGGGGUCAUCUGAGUCACCCAUCUUGCAGAUGGCCCCUCACAUGGUGUAGGUCUUAAACUGGCUGUUGAACCUGCCUGUCACCUCAUCAACCUCGGCCACUAUCCUUUGGAUGGACACGUGAUCCUUGGCGCCAAUGAUGCAGCUGCUGGUGGAGCGUUUCCACGGCACAUACAGGUCCACACACUCACCAGUGUCGUUCUGCAUGUCGAGGGCGCGUCUGGUGCCAUCACGCCGAGCGCGAGCGCAGGAAAGCUCUAUAGUCUUUAAAUGAAUGUUUCAUCAACAUCUAUUUAUGCUCAAUUUACCCAUUAUUCCUUUCAUAGAAAUUACAUUUUAUCACCAGAUUCAUCCAAGAAUUAUACUGUUCCAUUUAUUUUCUAGAGUUGCAUAAUAAUGUUCCUUUAAGUUUUGCUCAAUUGAUGAAUUAUUUUCUUUCCAGAUACCCUUUUUUUAUACCAUAAUAAGUAUUGGAGGCCAGACAUAUUAACAGUCACAGAACGAUCUUACGAUUGCAGUCACAGUUUCCGAUUUGGAGGAAAACUUAGAGAUUACCCAGUCCCAUCUCUUCACUUUGUAGAUGAUGAGACUGAGGCUCCGAAGAAUUAAAUGACUUGCCUGAGGUCACACCGUUAGUUAGCAGCAGAGCUGGAUCUAGAGCUUUCCUUAGGGUAAUUUUUUCCUUUUCUUUUAUUUUGUUUAAAUUAGAUUUUGUUUUUUCAGGGAAGUUGUAGGUUUACAGAAAAAUUGAGCAGAAAGUACAGAGAGUUCCCGUAUACUCCCUCUGUCCCCCCCACACAGUUUCCCCUAUUACUAAUAUCUUGCACAGCGUGAUACAUUUGUUGCAACUGAUCAACACUGGUAAUGAAAGUCCAUCCUCACAUUAGGGCUGGCUCCUCCUGUGUUGUACAGUUCUAUGGGUUUUCUCACGUAUCCACCGUUAGAGAAUCAUGCAGAAUAGUUUCACUGCCCUAAAAAUGUCCUGUGCUCCAGCUCUUCCUCCCUCACUUCCUUUCCCUGAGUCCCUGGCAACCAUUAAUCUUUUUACUGUCCUAUAGUGUUGCCUUUUCUGGAAUGUCACAUAGUUGGACUCCGUACAGUACGUAACCUUUUCAGACUGACUUCUUUCACAUAGCAAUAUGCAUUUAAAGUUCCUCAUUGUCUUUUCGUGGCUUGACAAUUCACUUCUUUCUAUUGUUGAAUAAUAUUUCAUUCUAUGGAUGCACCACCAUUUAUUUAUCCAUUCAAUUAAGCACAUCUUGCUUGCUUCCAAG
ensembl:lncRNA